rnacentral:lncRNA from 1 species
UUUGUAAAGUGUUGUUCCUUGAUGGAUUUAUCUGCCAAAGCCUUUAAACUUGCAACAGAGAGUGGUUUCAAAUCAUGUAUCUACAAACAAAUAUGAACAACACAGUAAAUUGAAAAACACACAAGAAUGGAUUGAGAGUGUGAAAAUUGAAACCCUGACUGACUUUGGUUGAAAUCCAUAGAGAAAUAAGCACAAACAGCUGCAAGGUACUUUCAGUAACAGGUUUCAGUAGCCAGCUUGAUGAACUCCCACGUUGUAUGAAACUACAAAAUGUAAUAUAUAUAUAUUUGAUGAGAAAGACAGUUAUGCGAACACACACGACACGAGUACAUUGCAAGAAUAGAGUUCGAGAUUAGUUACGUUGGUAAUGAAGAAAAGAAGCGAUCGGCGAAGAAGGAGAAUGCGGAGUACUUAACAAUGGGGGAAACUUGGAGGUGCUACAUUACAUGGAAGAAAGUAAAAAGAGGAUUAUGAGAAGAAAGUAACAAGAGAAAUAAGAAAGAAUGGUUAGUUAGUAGUUACUUGAGCAGAUUUGAUGAGGAAUUCUACUGUAUUGAGGCGCUGCUCAUGCCAAGAAGAUACUACCAUUGCUCAGAAAAGUCACAACUACUUCGUUUUCCUAUCAAAGCUGUUACACAAUGAUUUCACAACUUGCAUGUUUGAGUCAAAUAUUAGUAAGUCAUGGACAUAGAGAC